GACGAACGCUGGCGGCGUGCCUAAUACAUGCAAGUCGAGCGGUGAAGCUCGGUACUUGUUCCAACUGGAUGAGCAGCGAACGGGUGAGUAACGCGUGGGGAAUCUGCCUUUGAGCGGGGGACAACAUUUGGAAACGAAUGCUAAUACCGCAUAAAAUCUUUAAACACAAGUUUUAAGUGUGAAAGAUGCAAUUGCAUUCCUCAAUGAUGAUCCCGCGUUGUAUUAGCUAGUUUGUGAGGUAAAGGGUCUCCCAGGGGAUGAUAGAUUGGCGGCCUGAGAGGGUGGGCGGCCACAUUGGGACUGAGACACGGCCCAAACUCCUACGGGAGGCAGCAGGAGGGAAUCUUCGGCAAUGGACGAAAGUCUGACCGAGCAACGCCGCGUGAGUGAAGAAGGUUUUCGGAUCGGAAAACUCUGUUGGUAGAGAAGAACGUUGGUGAGAGUGGAAAGCUCAUCAAGUGACGGUAACUACCCAGAAAGGGACGGCUAACUACGUG
rnacentral:rRNA from 1 species